GAUGAACGCUGGCGGCGUGCCUAAUACAUGCAAGUCGAGCGAACAGAUGAGGAGCUUGCUCCUCUGACGUUAGCGGCGGACGGGUGAGUAACACGUGGAUAACCUACCUAUAAGACUGGGAUAACUUCGGCAAACCGGAGCUAAUACCGGAUAAUAUAUUGAACCGCAUGGUUCAAUAGUGAAAGACGGUUUUGCUGUCACUUAUAGAUGGAUCCGCGCCGCAUUAGCUAGUUGGUAAGGUAACGGCUUACCAAGGCAACGAUACGUAGCCGACCUGAGAGGGUGAUCGGCCACACUGGAACUGAGACACGGUCCAGACUCCUACGGGAGGCAGCAGUAGGGAAUCUUCCGCAAUGGGCGAAAGCCUGACGGAGCAACGCCGCGUGAGUGAUGAAGGUCUUCGGAUCGUAAAACUCUGUUAUUAGGGAAGAACAAAUGUGUAAGUAACUAUGCACGUCUUGACGGUACCUAAUCAGAAAGCCACGGCUAACUACGUG
rnacentral:rRNA from 1 species